rnacentral:rRNA from 1 species
GACGAACGCUGGCGGCGUGCUUAACACAUGCAAGUCGAACGGAAAGGCCCUGCUUUUGUGGGGUGCUCGAGUGGCGAACGGGUGAGUAACACGUGAGUAACCUGCCCUUGACUUUGGGAUAACUUCAGGAAACUGGGGCUAAUACCGGAUAGGAGCUCCUGCUGCAUGGUGGGGGUUGGAAAGGUUCGGCGGUUGGGGAUGGACUCGCGGCUUAUCAGCUUGUUGGUUGGGUAGUGGCUUACCAAGGCUUUGACGGGUAGCCGGCCUGAGAGGGUGACCGGCCACAUUGGGACUGAGAUACGGCCCAGACUCCUACGGGAGGCAGCAGUGGGGAAUAUUGCACAAUGGGCGGAAGCCUGAUGCAGCAACGCCGCGUGCGGGAUGACGGCCUUCGGGUUGUAAACCGCUUUCGCCUGUGACGAAGCGUGAGUGACGGUAAUGGGUAAAGAAGCACCGGCUAACUACGUG